GAUGAAGAACGUAGCGAAAUGCGAUACGUAAUGUGAAUUGCAGAAUUCAGUGAAUCAUCGAAUCUUUGAACGCAUAUUGCGCUCUUUGGUAUUCCGAAGAGCAUGCUUGUUUGAGUAUCAGUAAACACCUCAACCUCUUCUUGAUUUUUCAAAAGGAGGGUGGACUUGAGCUAUCCCAACAACCUUUACCGGUCGGCGGGCGGCUUGAAAUGCAGGUGCAGCUGGACUUUUAUCUGAGCUAAAAGCAUAUCUAUUUAGUCCUCGUCAAACAGGAUUAUUACUUUUGCUGCAGCUAACAUAAAGGAUAAUUGUCCUCUUUGCUGACUGAUGCAGGAUUUUACGACACUUUAUGUGUUGUUCAACUCGAUCUCAAAUCAAGUAAGACUACCCGCUGAACUUAAGCAUAUCAAUAGCGGAGGA
rnacentral:misc_RNA from 1 species